CCGCCUGAGAGGCCGGCGCCUGCCCGGGCGGGCGGGACCCGCACUGACCCCGCAGGGGGCGAGGCGGGGCUGAGAGGGGCGAACGCAGAGCCAGACCCCCCGCCGCCGCAGGCCGCCCACCUCCAGGCAGGGCUUCGUGCCAGACCCGGCUGUAGUUAUCAGCUGGGUGGAGGGCAGUGCCAGCUGCAGGCGUCCCCGAGGCGCAAACACCACCCCUGGCCCCAGCCUCCUUCCCUGCAGCCUUCUACCUUCUACCGGAAACAGAGCCACGGGGAGCUAAAGGAGGAUCCAGCAACAGUGGAGGCAGGGACUCCACCUCAGAGGCAGGGCCGCACUGAAGCCCAGCUCACCUACCUGCUGGGUGACCUUGGGCAAGUGACUUCUCUAUGCCUCAGUUGUUGCAUCUGUAAAAUUGAGAUAGUAAUAGUAUUCACCUCACUGAGUGCUGCGGUUUGGUGCCUGGCACAUAAUAGGGACUUCAUAGACAGUUGUUACUAUUAUUACCUCUUCCCCCACAUUUGGGGUUUGGCAGAGGGAUGUAUUGGCUACAUGGUCAUUAAGGAUCUGUUAAGCACCUCCUAUGCACGAGGGAGAUCACAUGGUAUGGUCCAAGAGUCUUGGAGUUAGAUGUGGGGUUGAAUCCUGGCCCUGUCACUUCAUAGCUGUGUGUGACCUUGUAAAAUUCUGUCUCCUCUCUGAGCUGAAGUUCCCCCACAGGAAAAUAGGGACCGUAAUGCCCAUCUUCCGGGGCCAAUGCUGGAUUCAAUGAGAUAAUGUACAGGGAGUGCCCAGGGCAGUUCUCAGCACACAAUAGUGCCUCUCAGUAAAUAAGAGACGCAGGAUGGAGAGGACAGGCUCAGUUUCUGCUACAGAAGAGCUCUGGGCAGAGCAGCUCAGAACACUUAUCACACCUUUCUCCUUGACCCUCACCUCUCUGGAAGAUUAGAAGCAGAAGAUUUAUUGGAUCAACUUCUCAGCUGUGGAAUCUGAGCAAACAGAAGGGAAGUGGCUGAGGGAGGCCUCAGACCAGCUGUAUCCCUGGACCAGAGGUCACAGCGCUGGCUAAGGAAACCUUCCAUGCAGGAGUGCUGUGAGCUGAGCAGUGCAUAAGAAAAGAGUGUUUGUGGGAAUCAGCAUUUUACCACCUGGCAGACCUGCCUGGGCUGUAGCAGAGCCUCCCCACUCAGUGGACAAGGGACAGGAGGGAUCAAAGGUACAGCCACUAUCCUGGGCUUUGCACAAACAUUGCCUCGCCUCCUUCUCCUGGUACCCCCAUGUUAUCCUUUCUGAACAAAGAGGCAACUGAGGCCCCAAGAGCCCAAAGCUGCAUGACAAUGACGGUGAAUCAGGACUGGAACCCAGACCCCCUGCCUCCCUACCCACAGCUCUUUCAGCUCCCUUUCCAAAUAUAUCAGCUUGCUGCCCUCUGGCUGUCCUGUUUUCUACCCAAAACUAGGACCUCGUCCACCUUCUCAAGCCCAGUCACCCCCUUACUCCCACUGAAGCCCUGGAAUCUUAGGCCUAGUGGGGUUGCAGGUUCCAGAGUACUUACAUCCUUAAAGGACAUAAACAUCUGUAGCCUUCAGUCACCCCCACAAUUGCCUAUGCAUGUUAGAUGUGUCUACUAAAAACAACCACUAUAAUAGUUGUAGCUGCCUUUAUUGCUUAUUCUGUUUUAGGGUUUACGCUACCUUCUCUUUUUAAUAUAAUGAUAUUUGUCAUUAAUUGAAUUAUUUUACAUCACACCAGACAUCGUAUAAUCCAAACCAGGCCAGGAGCUGUGGGCUCUGUAUUACAGCACCCACCCCACCAGAGGCAGCUGACAGGCCA
rnacentral:lncRNA from 1 species